AAAAUAUAUGUAUUUUAGUUGAGAAAAAAGAUUAAAAAGAUAAAUAUCAGGUAUAACAAAGUACCAACCAUAUUUCAACAUCCGCGGUCAGAGUGCUGUGAGCUCUUAGGUGUCAAUCUCCAGUUGGUUCUUCUGUGGCAGUACCUGGUUGUUUCUUGAACUGCUUACUCGGCAAACGGAGAGAAGAUGUGGCAAGCAACAAAGGAGAGAAGACUCUUCAAGCCUCAUCUCUAUUUAACUGUCCGGUGAGGGAAAAAAGUUCUGAUCAAAGAAUCCAUGGUGGAGGUGGAAUUUCGGAUCAAUAUAAGUGGCGGGGUUGGGUUGGUUCUUGGCACAAAAGCAAGAUCAAAGCUCAUCUGUCCGUAUCCUAGCUUUGGUGGCCCGCAGAACAGGGGAAGGUGUAAAAAGGGGGAAACAAGGAUUAGGUGGCAGAGGAGGCAGUGAAAUCCAGCCAAAUCUCUUGUGGACGCAAUAUUUCUUCCCGAUUGCUGGUGCGUAAGAUCCUAGCUGAAUCCGUAGGUCGGGCGCUAAUCGGAGGAACUUGCAUCGAUUCUUUCGUUCUGACGGAUAAGAGGGACGGUGUUUGUGGAAUUGCCUCCUUGGAGGCGGCUGGUGAAGUGGUGAGAGGGAGCAAGGAUGACGAUGCCGUGGGGGCUCGCGGCCUGCAUCGUGGACAUGGUGUGGGCGGUGCUCGCCGGCUGGGUGUCCACCUGCUUGGUCAUCGCCAACGAGGUCGCCCGCGGCAUGCGCAGUGGCGAGAUCGGCCCAUUCGUUGUCGGCUGAGUUAUUCGACCGGCUUGGGUCGUUCAUUCGUUCCUGCAUUUUAGGUCAGUUAUCAGAUAGUGUAUUUUUCGUUCCAGUACAUUUCAUACACAGCAUUAUACUGUACAAAGAACAUAGAUUGGAUGGCUUCGGGCUUAAGAACUGGAGGAUGACUUUCUAGGAUUUUUCAGUUGUGAUCAUCUUGCAAGUGUUUGUGCAAUCACACAAGAACAUGUGAUGUACUUUGAGUGGUAUAUGUCAAGAGAUUGUCCUGUAAAUAAUUCAAAAUUUAAUUCGCAUAUUUAAUGUUUUCUGUUCUUGAAAA